GGUUUUCCCUCCCAUUCUCAAAUCUAAUCUGACCAUCCAAAUCGACUCCCACCCCCUUCUCAUUUAGAAAAUUAGGGUUUGUGAGAGCAAUAUGAGAAGCCGUAUGUGAAGAAUAUGACGUGUUUGUGCAUCUAUCUUUAGAUCCCAAUCCCUAAACCUAACAUUCUGAUCGUUCGAUUUAAACCCAUGGAACCUAAUGUCUAUGAACCGAUUGAAGCUCAGAAAAUCAGUUCUCGAAAUUGGAAGGAAAAUGAAGCGUUGCCAGGUUGAAUAAUCAAAAGUUGCAGAUUUAAGCGACAAACAACUAAAGUUCUCACGAUGAAGCAAUAGCCUACGCAGUAUGCAACGUGUGUAUAACAUAGUAUUGAUCAGUCCAUUGUUAGUGCUUCUAUCUACCUUUUUUUGUUUAGCGAUUGGGGCGACAACGUUUCAAGGCGAUGUUUGCUUAUUUCAUGACUUAGAAAAUGGAGGAUGAACCAAGUUUUAACCCUUUUUGGUUUUUAGAUCAUGUUGGUGUUACCACUUCCCGUGUUCAUCUUUAAGGGGGGCUAUCAGCUAUGGAUGAAUUUGGAUUGAGAUCUCUUCCCAAUUUGCAUAAUAUAUAUAUCGGCACUUGUUUCCUUAUCAUCAAGGUUGGGCGGCAGGGGUGUAUCAAACUUACAUAGAUGGCUGUACAAGGCAAAGACCAAGGCUACAAUCUUGUUCUAGAAUUCAAUGGAGCAAUUUUGGUGUUGUAAAAGAUCAAAGUAACUCGUCUUCAGAGUUGUGGACCUUGCAACGGGUCUUGUGCCAAACCUAGGACCAACGUGUCUGAAUCUGCAACAUGUGGUGGUCAAAGCCAAGUUGUAUCUUUAUCUCUAUUUAUCUGGUUUUAGUUCCUUGUAUUUGUAGAAUUUGUACAUUUUUGUAAAUUGAUAUGAAUUUAUUGAAUAGGAUUUGUAAAUCUAUUUUG
rnacentral:lncRNA from 1 species